rnacentral:lncRNA from 1 species
AAAAAAAAACAACUAACUUUAUUAGCUUUAAAAACAAAACUGUUACCAUUAAUCACAAAGAUUUCCCCCAAAAUUGCAUUCUGCUUUUGUCACCUUGACAAGGAAUGUUUAAAUGUCCUCAAAAUACAGAAGAGCUGAAGUUGACAAAUAACACAGUACUACACACUAUGAAUCGCCACUGUAAGCACACUAAAAUGUGGAAUACACACCUGUGAAUUAUCGGCCAGUUUUUGGAAGUACAGUAAUAUCCACUACAGAUGAUAGUAGCAGAAAGGUAAUGUCCCCCAAAAUGUAACAGAAGGUCGGACAUUUGCAGAUAAAAUAAUAAAUCUGACUCCUGGGUUCAGUUAACACAGAAGUGAAAUGGUGGAGAAACA